rfam:Glycine soja cultivar W05 scaffold1385_15, whole genome shotgun sequence.
UUCUUAUUGGAUGAUGACUACCCCGUGUCAUGUUCUGAUUGGAUGUCAACUACAUGGAUGAAAUACAUUGUUAUUUUCAUUGACCAAUCAGAACAUGACACAUGAUAGUCAUCAUCC